CACCCGUUUCCUUCUUUCUCUUUUAGCUCCCUUUCACAUCUCUCUUUCUACAAGUGCAGAAAGCCACCCACACUGUACCACCCUCGCUAGAACGACAAGCAUCGCCACACCACCUCGCCAUCUUCGGCGAGAUUCACCAAGCCAAUACUUGAACUCUCUCUCUCUCUCUCUCUCUUUUUCUCCCUCUCAUUAGUUUCUCUCGCAUGGACUCUCACUGCUCACGGCUCGAGAGGAUUCCGGUGAGGACAUGAUGUUUUCGACAAAGUUUUGGUUCAGAAAAAUUCAGGGAAAACUCUCCCCUAGUUUUUUGGCAGCUUUUGAGCCUUUUUCCAGCCAACUUCGGCCACGGCUAAGGAAACCAAAGUGUAGGUCACUUAUUGGAAUUGGAGAAGCCUUCAGCACGUAUUUAUUUCAUAGAUCACAAGUCUAUGCAAUACUGAACUGACAAGGAGAAGAAGAAAAACAAAAACAAAAGAAAGCUGCAUAUUUCCUCUCCCAUUUUCCAGGGUUAGCCUCCAUACAAAACCGGAAUAAAGAGAGAUCUUAGUGAAGUUAAAUUGGAGAGAAAUAUGGUGAAUCACCUACACAAAGUAGUUUCAAAUUCAUGGGUCUUUGCCAAAAGCAUAAUUCGGGAUAUUUGGCUGCACAAUUUGUUCAAUUCCAGAGGAAGUCUGAUCACUUUCAGCCAUGGUGGAUAUCUAUUUGGAGAUGAAACUUCAACUGGAAUUGAGCGGAUAAUUAAAGAAGGCACAGAGGGGGUUUGCAACAGCAAGUAGACUAAAGGUACAAGGGAAAACGUUGGCAAAUGGAGAAAGUAAUCAAGGUGUGUUUAUUGUACAAAGUGGCUAGUAGAUAAUUGAAGAGUUCUUCGGUUUUCUUUUCUUCUAAUGUUGUCAAUAAAUGGGUUUUAACUCAUUGUCAGUUACAGAGAAGAAAAUUAAAACAGAAGAGGAAAAAGAAAAAGGAACGGAUCAAUUAUUCACAAGAAAAGAAAAGGGUAAACGGCAGCGGCAAACCAGGGGAUUUUUUAGGCCUUUUCUAAAAUAAAUUUUCUUAUUAUUUCUUAUGGAUUCAGUACCAAUUUUGAUUAUGUUUUGGAACUAAUUUCAUUUUGCUAGGGCUAUGAUGUAGCCUAACCAUGAUUGCUUAAUGUUUCAGUUUAAUUAUUUAUGAAUUUGCAUUCCCUUGAGUAUCA